CGCCUAACACAUGCAAGUCGAACGGAUUAAGAGUAGCUUGCUACUCUUAGUUAGUGGCGGACGGGUGAGUAACACGUGAGCAACCUGCCUUCAGUGGGGAAUAACACAGGGAAACCUGUGCUAAUACCGCAUAACACGUCGAGUGGGCAUCCACACGACGUCAAAGAUUUAUCGCUGAGAGAUGGGCUCGCGUCCGAUUAGAUAGUUGGUGAGGUAAUGGCUCACCAAGUCUGCGAUCGGUAGCCGGACUGAGAGGUUGAUCGGCCACAUUGGGACUGAGACACGGCCCAGACUCCUACGGGAGGCAGCAGUGGGGGAUAUUGCACAAUGGGGGAAACCCUGAUGCAAGCGACGCCGCGUGGAGGAAGACGGUCCUCUGGAUUGUAAACUCCUGUCUUAUGGGACGAUAAUGACGGUACCAUAGGAGGAAGCACCGGCUAACUACGUGCCAGCCGCAGC
rnacentral:rRNA from 1 species